UUCGAGGCCCUGUAAUUGGAAUGAGUACACUUUAAAAGCUUUAACGAGUAUCCAUUGGAGGGCAAGUCUGGUGCCAGCAGCCGCGGUAAUUCCAGCUCCAAAAGUAUAUAUUUAAGUUGUUGCGGUUAAAAAGCUCGUAGUUGGAUUUUGGGCGCAGGCGGCCGGUCCGUCGCAAGGCGUGUACUGGACGUCCUGGCCUUCCCUCCGGUUCUCCGCCGGUGCUCUUGACUGAGUGUCGGCGGCGGCCGGAACGUUUACUUUGAAAAAAUUAGAGUGUUCAAAGCAGGCUCUCGAGCCUGGAUAAUGGUGCAUGGAAUAAUGGAAUAGGACCUCGGUUCUAUUUUGUUGGUUUUCGGAGCGCGAGGUAAUGAUUAAGAGGGACAGACGGGGGCAUUCGUACUGUGCCGUUAGAGGUGAAAUUCUUGGAUCGGCGCAAGACGAACGACUGCGAAAGCAUUUGCCAAGAAUGUUUUCUUUAAUCAAGAGCGAAAGUCAGAGGUUCGAAGACGAUCAGAUACCGUCCUAGUUCUGACUAUAAACGAUGCCAACUAGCGAUCGGGGGGCGUUACAUUGACGACCCCUCCGGCAGCUUACGGAGAAACCAAAGUCUUUGGGUUCCGGGGGAAGUAUGGUUGCAAAGCUGAAACUUAAAGGAAUUGACGGAAGGGCACCACCAGGAGUGGAGCCUGCGGCUUAAUUUGACUCAACACGGGAAAUCUCACCCGGCCCGGACACAGUGAGGAUUGACAG
rnacentral:ncRNA from 1 species